CCUGGCUUAGCGCCGGGUCAGGCUGUCAAGAGCCCGGAAGGAAGGAAAGAAAGAGGGGGAGAGGUCGUCAAGGGGCGCCCCCGGGCACCGUAGACCCACCCAGGAAGGUCAGGGAGGGGGGGGACAGAGAGCGAGCAAGACCCCUUGAGAAAGAGCUUCCCCAGGGUGGCAGAUCCGGCUGCUUUAGGGUUGUGGAGACCUCCUGGCUGACUCCUCUCUGGCCUUCCUCUAUUACUCCCCCCCCCAACACAUAAAAUCCACUUUUUUUUUGCAAGUCCACCACAUUCCCUCUCCCAUUUUACUCCCAUCGCUUUCGCACAUUCCUCUUGCUCUCCUUUCGCCUGAUACAUUCCCAGCAGCAGCUACUUGCCCUUGCUAAGGUUUUGGGGUUUGUUUGUUUUUUGGCCACUCCCCCCCAAUCACCCCAUUCCUCCUUCCUUCCCAUUUCUCAUUUCUUAACUUUUUGCCUUGGACUGGUUGUCUGAAUCUUCUAAUUGUCUAGUGCGACUUUUACCUUCACUUCCUGUUUUUUUUUCAUUUAACACCUUGCUUUCUGGACACCUGUAUUUUUCAUAUUGUUAUUCAUUCUUCUCUUUUCUUCCCCUCUCAGGUAUUACAUCAUCCCUCACCUCAUCCCUGUAAUUUUUCAAUUUUAAAGGGAGCCUCUUUCCUCCAUAUUUAUUAUUCUCUUUGCAGUUUUGGACCUGUUUUUGCAUAUACUCCCACAAAGCUUUAGUCCACCUUGAAGAACUUUUUGCCCCAUCCCUGAACACUUUCAGCAUCAUUAUUUAGUCCUCUUUCCAUAUUUAGCCUUUAUUUUUCCUGGCUUCUGAAGUCUAUUACAGCUUUUCUCUAAAGAAAGCCUAUCAGGGUUGAUUUGCCCUCCUCCUCUUACAUUUUAAUAUUUCCAUCUGUAAAAUUUCACAGUGGGUUUUUUUUCUUCCAUAUUCUCAAUCUUUCCUGCUUCCAGUUCUCCUUAUCCACUUUGCAUCAUUCCCCAGCUUUCAUCCUUUAAAAAUAAAAACGCCUUUUUUUGCCUUUUGUGACA
rnacentral:lncRNA from 1 species